rnacentral:rRNA from 1 species
UAGUAACGGCGAGUGAAGCGGGAUGAGCUCAAGCUUAAAAUCUCUGUGCCAGUUUGGCAUGGCGAAUUGUAGUCUAUGGAGGCGCUGUCAGUGCGACUAUGCGGGGUAAGUUCCUUGGAAGAGGACAGCAUCGAGGGUGAUACUCCCGUAUGUACCUGUGUAGUUGCGCGUACGACACGUUUUCUUUGAGUCGCGUUGUUUGGGAAUGCAGCGCAAAGUAGGUGGUAAAUUCCAUCUAAAGCUAAAUAUUGGUGCGAGACCGAUAGCGAACAAGUACCGUGAGGGAAAGAUGAAAAGAACUUUGAAAAGAGAGUUAAAGAGUACCUGAAACUGCUGAAAGGGAACCGAAUCGUUUCCAGUGUCUAUAAUCUAUGGCAUAUUUCAUUGGCGCGUGGAUGUGUGUAGCGUUUUGGAAGUAGGUUUCUGCUCCUGGCGUUGCUUUGCGUUCGCUUGCUGGUGCCCUGUGCUGUAGUGGGACGUCAGAGUCAGUUCGUAUGCUGCGGGAAAUGGUUAUUGGGGAGGUAGGUCGCUUCGGUGGCUGUUAUAUCCUGGUAACUAGUCGUCGUGGUUGGGACUGAGGUGCCUACAACGCGCUUUCGAGUCUGCGGGCCUCUCGUUUGGCUGUUUGCUUUGAUAGCUUGCUAUGUUAGUGAACGUGUUAGGCGAUUGAGACCUGUAGUAACUUGUUGCCGUUCGGGACUUUGAC